rnacentral:miRNA from 1 species
AGCAGCAGCAGAUAAUGUCCUUCACGAAUCUUUUUGCGGUCUGGGCUUGC